CUGGGGAGGGAUGAGGGUGA
rnacentral:misc_RNA from 1 species